GGGGAAUCUUGCGCAAUGGGCGAAAGCCUGACGCAGCAACGCCGCGUGCGGGAUGACGGCCUUCGUGGUUGUAAACCGCUUUCAGCAGGGACGAAAUUGACGGUACCUGCAGACGAAGCCCCGGCUAACUACGUGCCAGCAGCCGCGGUAAUACGUAGGGGGCAAGCGUUGUCCGGAAUCAUUGGGCGUAAAGAGCUCGUAGGCGGUUCAGUAAGUCGGGUGUGAAAGCUCCGAGCUCAACUCGGAGAGGCCACUCGAUACUGCUGUGACUAGAAUCCAGUAGGGGAGUGUGGAACUCCUGGUGUAGCGGUGAAAUGCGCAGAUAUCAGGAAGAACACCAGCGGCGAAGGCGGCACUCUGGGCUGGUAUUGACGCUGAGGAGCGAAAGUGUGGGUAGCAAAC
rnacentral:rRNA from 1 species